GGAGAGGCGUUCAAGCGAGGCCAGCUGUGUGAAUGUGAUCCAAUGUGUGCGGUCUACAACACCUGUUGUCAGGACUACCAGCAGCAGUGUGAUGCCCGGGUGUCAGUCUCACAACCGAAUACCUUACUGCCUCAAAGAGCCUCCACUUCAGGAAUACGGAUUUUAGACAGUGGCAGGAAAAGAUCCAACAGCGAUAGCGAGGAAUGGUACACAG